rnacentral:miRNA from 1 species
UGCGUUGCGUGCGACUUCCCUU